rnacentral:rRNA from 27 species
ACCUGGUUGAUCCUGCCAGUAGUCAUAU